UAACAAAAGGCAUAACUCAGCCACAGGAAAGAAGCAGAAAGGACCGACCAAUAAGGAAGAGGUGUCAGAUCUGCCCAAGUUCCAAAGACCACAAAGUCAGUAAUAGGUGUGGGAAAUGCAAUGUACCAGUGUGCAAUGAAACAGGUUGUUUGUCUUAACUGUUCACAGUGAGGAGUUAAGAAGGUUUUUAAGAAAUAACGACAGCAAUUCGACUGACUGAAGGAGGGCCUUGGUCUUGCGAGAGGGAUCAUCUGGGCGGAAGUUCUUGUACUCUUCCACUUCCUUCUCAAUGGACAGCAACUGGCUUUGCAGCUUGUUCCUCAGCCCUGGCAGGGUGUCUCGAAUGUGAUUGGUAAGGCGUCCCCAUGCGCUCAGCCAGGUGACGAUAGGAAGGGUGGCUGAGGAAGAACUUCCUCUCAGCAGUCAUGGCAGCAGUAAUGUCCUUUUUUCCAUCAAUAUCUUUUUGACUGCGGUUCACGACUCCGACGUAGCCUAUUGGUGGCAUCAGACAUCAGUAGGCCAGAUCACAGGCUUGUAUUUUAUGAGGUGUACAAGAAUACUCAGUACGUUUACAUGGACAACAAUAAGCCAAUAUUAACCCGAUUAAGAUGAUACUCUGAUUAAGAAACUAGCAUGUAAACAGCGAUUAUUGAUGACCUUAAUCCAACUAAAAUCAUACUCGAGGUAAACACAAAUCGAAUUAAGACCUAUGGAGUUUUCCUGUUUUAGUCGCAUUAUCGACAUGUAUUACAGACAUGUACACACCUUAAUCACACUACUAACGUCGUGUGGGAGUUUUCACCGCAUUUUGCGACAGGACAUGUACACACAUGGCAGUGUUCAACCAUUUAACGGCAAACAAGAGAGCACGGCUGCAUCCGAAACUGCAUAAAUACCUACUAUAUAGUAGGCGAAAUACACGUAUCUCAGCUACUAUAUAGACGGUAAAUAUGCUGUUUGGGACGCAGCCCAAGGCUUCAAUCAAUUGUCUAUUAGCAUGUAUAGCAUGACAAAUAAUUAACUGCACUCGAAACUUUCGUAAAAUUAAAAUUGAAACACCCAAAACUGUAUACGGUACCAUAACGAAGAUGAACUGUAUGUUGAUACGUGAAAUUCUGGAGGGAAUGUCGGACGGCGUGGUGUGGGGACGUAAUGACGUGUGCUGUUAAUCGAUCUAUGUUCUAUAACAUGUAAAACGGAAACAUGAAAGGCAUAUUCUAAACGCAACUCAUGUAAACACCUUAAUCAGACUAUUGUCUUAUUCAGAAUAAGGUCAAGAAUUAGAUUACUGCUGUCCACGUAAACAUAGUCCAUGAUUCUCAGUAGUAGAUGGCCAAGGAUCCAUAUCUGAGAUCCAUGAUUUUUUUAAUGGCAUUACAGAUGUUUAAAGAUGUUUCAGUUCUCAUAGUUUUAAACCUAAUUGUCUGUUUAACUCAAAAAUCCAAAACAAAACUAAAUCAUGUCAAUUCCAUCUUACUGCAAUUUUAAUCAUACUUAGAAAAGUGUAUACUGUGGGUGGAAAGUGUAGGUUUUAAAACUUUGUAUGUAAAUGUAGUGCUGUGGGUAGUGUUGCCACCUCACAGCUCCAGGGUCUGUGGAUUGAUCAUGAGUUUGGCUUAUGUGUGUGCAGAGUUUCACAUGUUCUCCCCAGUUCAUGUGGGUUUCCUCCGGGUUCUCUAAUUUCCUCCUACCUUGCAAAUAUAUGACAGUAGCUUGAUUGGCUAAGAUAAAUUGACCCUAUAUGUGAAUGAACAUGUACAUUUGUGUGCAAAACUCAACACAGACAGUAAGUCAAGCUCAGGUUUGAACUAAGAACCCUAGAGACAGCGACACUUCAUUAUAAGGGAAUCAGCAGAUUUUUGUAUUUAUUGAAAUAACUCUCUAGCUACAAAAGUUUUGAUAACCCCUGGUCUAUAGCAGCAGGUUUUAUGCCCUCAUUUCGUUUUAGUUAAUGCAGAUGGAUAUUCACCUAGAAAGACACAUUAAUGAAGAGUAUCUUUUAAUGAAUCCUUUAAUGACACAUUAAUGAAGAUUAUCCAGCGCUGAUCUAAAAAUAAUUUGCUGACUCAGCAAUGAUGCACAUUGCAUUAUGGAUUGGGGACAGCAUGAACUUAAUAUACUUUUGUGAUUUACCUCUACGCAGAGGAAGGAGCUUGUUCUCCAAGAUAUCACGUGCAUCCGUACCCUCAUCCAUCAGGUCCAGUUUAGUGAUCACACCAAUUGUUCUCACACCUGCUCAGAGACACGCACAUACACAUGAGCUAUUAUGUAUAGUCACACACAAAAAAUAAAACUGAACACAAAUACGAAUACUUCAAAAGAAACAUCUUGAAUUUUUUUUUAAAUAACAUCCCUUGAUGUCACUCACCUAUCAUUAAAAACUAUAGCACCUACUUUUUACACAUUCAGCACAUCUGGCCAUUUAAGACAUGUAGUCACUCAGAAGAUAAACACACUAGAAAUGACUGAUAGACUGAUAUGGAUUGAACACUGUAUUUCACACCUUGA